AGUGUUGAAAUCAUCUCGUGAUAAACACGAUACUUCGGGAGCUACCAGAAAUUUAGAGAAGGAAUUAGUUAAUGGCGCCUUUCAUCAAGAACGAUUAAGAACGAUUAAGAACUGUAUUUCAUCUGUUCGAGAUACUAGGGCGAUGUAAGAAAAUUGGUUUGAUUCAUGGUUGACACUGAAACUGAUGCUUACUCUAGGUCGAAGUAACCAGGAGUGGCAGCCACCAUUGUGGACAUGCGAGUCUUGCUACCAUCAUUGGAAACUCUUGGAGAGCCCGAAAUCUGAGUUCAGGUGGAAGUGGACCUGUGAGGUGGUUUUUGUCUAAUUUUCUGCAAUGGGUCAGAAAUAUAUCAUAUUUCUGUGGUCUAUCAGAUUUCCCCACAAAAAUUUGUCCAAUCCAAGCAUCUUACAUGACUUGAGGCUUGUCAUAUUGGCCAAGAAACCAGGGAAAAUAAAAGAAAAACAAAGCAAUGAAAUUGAUGACGCUUAAAACUAGUACUUACUCUGGAUCGAGGUAACCAGGUGUGCCAGCGACAACCGUGGACAUGUGGGUGUUGCCAUCUAUGGGAAAGCUUUUGGAAAGACCGAAAUCGGCAAGUUUGCCUUGGAAAUUAUCUGUCAACAAGAUGUUUGUUGUUUUCACAUCUCUGUGAACUAUUGGUGGCUUACAACCGUAAUGCAGUUGUCAAGAACUUAGCGGUGAACAACAGAAAUUCAUACGGUUUGAUCAGCUUGCAGCAGGAGAGGUAUUAUUCAUAUUCAUUUGAAUGUUUUCCUUUCAUAGGAUUGAAAACCAUCUCCAUGUUUGUCCAAUGAAUGCCAUUCCACCAUUGGAGGCAACUCAAUUGGUAUAGGAAUUGAAGGUACAAACUUGACUGCAUAAGUUUUUUUCUUUUCUUUUUCUGUACGUCCCAAGUUUUACUCAAGACUACAAAAGAAUGGGCACAUGGGAAGCCGUAGACUUUGUGGAGUCAAUGGCCGCAUUAGCUUUAAUCUUCACAAAUACGUGUGGAAUAAAAGGAUGUGGGCUAUAUAUAUAUAUAUAUAUAUGUUGUGAAUUUGUUUAAUUUAAAUAGUGAACUUAUCUGCUAGUUUUGUUGCUUGAUCUGACAGAUGAUGAAUGAUAAGUUUUGACUUGGUAAUCAAAUGUUUAUUGCUAAUGAUUGCUAAUUUAGCUUGUUGACUUCACUCAAUUAUAUUAAUUUUACAUUAAUUUUUGAGAUCAAACUAAUGUGAGCAUUUCAUUCUUUUUCCUUCUCCU